CCAUUAGUAAUAUCAUUAAUUGCAUAUCGUCCAAUAAUGAUAAAUUGAUAACCUUUCACUAGUCUUCCGAUCUUAAUUUUAGAUUGAUGUACAACUCAGAAAUGCGCGGUAAAUCCGAUAUUCUUUUUUUCAAAAUAAAUUGCAAAAUAUCCUCUAUGUGAAUCUGUGUUUAAAAGACGGGAUUCGUAUUUGAAAAUCUAACAA